GUAGUCUCGCACAGAUGCAUAUCAAUAAGCGGAGGAAAAGAAACUAACAAGGAUUCCCCUAGUAACGGCGAGUGAAGCGGGAAGAGCUCAAAUUUGAAAUCUUAAAGGGUUUCCCUUUACGAAUUGUAGUUUAAAGAAGUGUUUUCUGUUGAGGUUUUGGUAAAAGUUCUUUGGAAUAGGACAUCAUAGAGGGUGAGAAUCCCGUAUUUGACCUUUACUUUCAACUUUGUGAUACACUUUCAAAGAGUCGGAUUGUUUGGGAAUGCAGUCCAAAAUGGGUGGUAAAUUUCAUCUAAAGCUAAAUAUUGGCGAGAGACCGAUAGCGAACGAGUACCGUGAGGGAAAGAUGAAAAGAACUUUGAAAAGAGAGUCAAACAGUACGUGAAAUUGUCAAAAGGGAAGCGUUUGACACCAGUGUUGUUUUUCUGAAAAUCAAUUAAAGAACUGUUUAUGCUAAGCUGUUUAGACUUUAUCAGCUAUCUGUUUAGUUUUGAGCUUUUCUUUAAUGCACUUUUCAGUUAACAAGUCAACAUCAAUUUCUUUUGCUGUAAAAAGGCUUGAGGAAGGUGGCUUGAGAUUCGUCUUAAGUGUUUAUAGCCUCUUGCCUAUGCAGUCGGAGAGAUUGAGGUCUGCAGCGUAGAUCCUUCGGGGCUAAAUGCAUUUGUGCUAAGUUAUAACAUUUUAUAGACAACCUGUUGACUAUGAUUUGUCUUGUAGCUUACUCGCUUAUGUUAUUUUACCUACGCUUAGGAUGUUGAUCUGUAGUGCGUGCGC
rnacentral:rRNA from 1 species